rnacentral:rRNA from 1 species
UACGAAGGGGGCUAGCGUUGCUCGGAAUUACUGGGCGUAAAGCGCACGUAGGCGGCUUUCUAAGUCGGGGGUGAAAUCCUGGAGCUCAACUCCAGAACUGCCUUCGAUACUGGAAAGCUCGAGUCCGGGAGAGGAGAGUGGAACUGCGAGUGUAGAGGUGAAAUUCGUAGAUAUUCGCAAGAACACCAGUGGCGAAGGCGGCUCACUGGCCCGGUACUGACGCUGAGGUGCGAAAGCGUGGGGAGCAAACAGG